GGGGUUGACUGGAUUUGACAGCAAGCUGAGAUGGUAUGUAAGCACGCGGAGUGACGGCUGUAUACUCCAUAAUACAUUCGGUCGAAAAAUUAAUUGGCAACAACGAGUAUGCUCUCGCUGCCUAAUCGAAGCAUAGUAGAUUGAGGCUCAAUCCCGUCACCAGGUGACAGGACGAGACGUCGCUCCAAGGAUGUUGUUCCGAAUCCGAGGAUUCAGCGGCGCAGGUAAAUCGGGAAUAGUCAUUCAGGGCCCCGCCUGAGUGAUGAGAUUCAGGGGAUAAGGCUUCAGUUGGUGGUCCAGGUCUUGCUGCAAGCUCGAAAAUCAAAGUCUGGAAUAAGCGUGUAGAAAGCAUAUGGUUUCCUUGUUUGGACGCGGGUUCGAUUCCCGCCAGCUCCACA
rnacentral:tmRNA from 1 species